rnacentral:rRNA from 1 species
AACGAACGCUGGCGGCAUGCCUAACACAUGCAAGUCGAACGAGACCAAGGCUUCGGCCUGAAGUCUAGUGGCGCACGGGUGCGUAACGCGUGGGAAUCUACCCUUGGGUUCGGAAUAACAGUUAGAAAUGACUGCUAAUACCGGAUGAUGACGUAAGUCCAAAGAUUUAUCGCCCAGGGAUGAGCCCGCGUAAGAUUAGCUUGUUGGUGAGGUAAAGGCUCACCAAGGCGACGAUCUUAGCUGGUCUGAGAGGAUGAUCAGCCACACUGGGACUGAGACACGGCCCAGACUCCUACGGGAGGCAGCAGUGGGGAAUAUUGGACAAUGGGCGAAAGCCUGAUCCAGCAAUGCCGCGUGAGUGAUGAAGGCCUUAGGGUUGUAAAGCUCUUUACCCGGGAUGAUAAUGACAGUACCGGGAGAAUAAGCUCCGGC